UACGGGGGGAGCAAGCGUUGUUCGGAUUUACUGGGCGUAAAGGGCGCGUAGGCGGCCAGCACAAGUCAGUUGUGAAAUCUCCGAGCUUAACUCGGAACGGUCAACUGAUACUGUGCGGCUAGAGUGCGGAAGGGGCAACUGGAAUUCUUGGUGUAGCGGUGAAAUGCGUAGAUAUCAAGAGGAACACCUGCGGCGAAGGCGGGUCUCUGGGCAACAACUGACGCUGAGGAGCGAAAGCGUGGGGAGCGAACAGG
rnacentral:rRNA from 1 species